ACGCGAAGAACCUUACCCAGGCUUGAACAGCGAGUGACCAUCGACGAAAGUUGACUUCCGCAAGGACACUCGUAGAGGUGCUGCAUGGCUGUCGUCAGCUCGUGUCGUGAGAUGUUGGGUUAAGUCCCGCAACGAGCGCAACCCUUGUUUGCUGUUGCCAUCAGGUAAUGCUGGGCACUCUGCAAAGACUGCCGGUGAUAAACCGGAGGAAGGUGGGGAUGACGUCAAGUCAGCAUGGCCUUUAUGUCUGGGGCUACACACGUGCUACAAUGGCCGAUACAAACCGUCGCGAGCCCGCAAGGGGGAGCUAAUCGGAGAAAAUCGGUCUCAGUUCGGAUAGCAGGCUGCAACUCGCCUGCUUGAAGUUGGAAUCGCUAGUAAUCGCGGAUCAGCACGCCGCGGUGAAUACGUUCCCGGGCCUUGUA
rnacentral:rRNA from 1 species